ACACAACAUCCGUGGCGUUGCCAGGGGAGAUGGAUUAUUAUUGAUUUGAUGGCGACGGUGCAAGGCGUUCAUGAAAAUUAUCGAAUUUUGCAUCGAUCGUAUUCUUCCUUAAAUUUAACCCUAAUAAUUUAUUUUCUUAAAUAAAAGUCCUCGCAGGAGAAAAUGCCAAACAAAAUUCGAAAAAUUGAAGAAGCAUUGGAACAAAGUGCGGUGUUUUUCCACUAUUGCAGCUGGGGCUAAAUAAAUGCGUGUACAACCGUGGCAACUCAAUAAUGCAAAAACCACAACAGUCAAUGUAAAUUAACAAACAUAUUGAGACGAAUUACAUAGAAGUAGACAAAGUGCAUCACUUGUGUAAUACGUACUCUUUCCUGCGACUCAGACAGACGUACAGGCAUAAGGUGACAUUAAAAGCUGCAGAAGAACUGAAUGAUUUGGUGGAACACACCGCAAAUGAUAUUAACAAAAUGGUAAUCGAAGCGGCAUUUGAAUGGUAAUUAUUGGAACCAGUUUUGACUAAAUUGUUUAGGCAUGUUUGCAAGCGCAAUUCAAAAACUUUGACAAAUUGAAACAGGAAAAAUGUCGAUCACAUUUGCUCGAAAGCAUAUUAACAGCGCUCCAAAGCUCAGUUCGUUAUAGUUUUACAUUAUUUUUCGGUUUGUAUUGAUUUUCAUAUAGACGAGAAAUAAAUAGUCGAUUGCCCGACUAA